rnacentral:rRNA from 1 species
UACGAAGGGGGCUAGCGUUGCUCGGAAUUACUGGGCGUAAAGGGCGCGUAGGCGGACAGUUAAGUCAGAGGUGAAAGCCCAGGGCUCAACCCUGGAAUUGCCUUUGAUACUGGCUGUCUUGAGUAUGGGAGAGGUGAGUGGAACUCCGAGUGUAGAGGUGAAAUUCGUAGAUAUUCGGAAGAACACCAGUGGCGAAGGCGACUCACUGGCCCAUUACUGACGCUGAGGCGCGAAAGCGUGGGGAGCAAACAGGA